CAACAAUCAAUACUGUUGCUUUACCCUUAGCUAUUACUGAUUUGAUCGUUGAAGUCACAAUGGGGAACUAGCCCUGCUGUUCACUCUCUUGUAGGUCAGUUCAUGCCAUCCGGCUAGCACCAGUCCGCUCAUCCAUAGUUCGCUCAGCUCGUUGCCACUCAGUUACUCAGUUUGGAUCGUACUCUCGGCUGUCGCAUCACAUGCCCCAUCUUUUGUGCGUAUGCUCCAAUACUCCUUCAUGAAAACUCUAGCAUGUUCCCCAAUUUGCCCAACUUCUCUAGCUUUAUCUUCAAAAAAUAUUUGGUUCCAAUUCCUCCAUAUGAUCCACAAGGUUGCAGCUGUAAUCACAACUGUUUCUUUGCUUUAUGUUCUCAUAUAACAAUCAAACCAUCCUCCAAAAUUUGGUCGACCUCUGGUUGUUAGUCACUGUAAAUUCAAGUUGAUUGUGUUGAUGUUGUUGAUAAUCAUACUUUAAACUUUUAUUAGCUAUGUUUUUCGUUUGUCUGAUUAUUGGAUCCUUCUUUCUAGGUUCAAAGAAGUUUCAAUCAAAUGACUAUUUCAAUCAUGUGGUAAUAUUAUUGCUAAUGGUCUUAUCCCUUUUAGCGUCUGUCUCCCUGGAACACCUGUAGCUUCUUUAAUUUUUGUUGAAUCUGAAUUUCUCCUGGUUUUACGAAGAAGAAGAAGAAAGGAAAAGAUAUUAACCCGAUUGAGAAGAAAUGAAAGAAAAAUGGUUUUCUUUUGUAUCAUUUGGGAAAAUAGAAGUGCGUAUGUCUCUGCAUAUAUAAUGCUUUGAGGGGAAAAGAAAAAGGAAAUAAUAACAAGUGUCUCAAAGGAAUUAGGCAGUAAACUUAAAGUUAGGUAAAAGAACAGGACAUUCAGCCUCUUACCUUUCAAUCCUCUCCUAGAAAAUCAAUUUUAAUAGCAGUGAAAAUGACAAAAAAAAAAAAAAACCAUAUCCCUUCUACUAGUCAUCUGUUUGUUCGCAUCUCCCUCCCUCCAAUUCGUCAAAUCCAAAGGAAGCUUAAUUUUUAUCACUAUCGUCCAUCUGUCUCGAAUGGCGCUGUAUUAAAAAAUGCGAAACGAUUCCUGCUUGCUGGCGCAAUCGUCAAACCCCAUACGAAACUAUUAGAAGCGAGUGAACAAAUUGAAAAGAUAAAACUUGAAAAGGACAUGGAGUAUAAUUUGGUCCAGAUAUCAAAAUAUGCAGGCCCAGCAUUGCUUUUGCGGAGUAUCAUUUUUUCUUCUCGGCAACAUUUCCGGUCCGUCUGACCAUCAGGUGCCCUACCACUCCUUUUCCCCUUCUUUGAUAUUUCCAUCAACUAGUACUAGUGGCAUGCUUUUUUUUCCUGAAACGCCCAGUCCCAUCAUUUUGACGAGAGGAAUUGUGGGACGAUGACCGAUGACGCAACAUUUUUUCAAUGUUUGAUGAUCACUUCCCCUUAAUUCUUUCCACUAGUAAAUAAAAUUUUUGACUUCAUUCCUCCGUUUGAUUCUUGACAAUAAUGCUGACGGAAAGAUUCUCUAUUACUGUCCGCGAGUACUUGUCUUUGCAUUUGAAUUAAGGGAUAAUAUCAGAAACGUCCCUAGAGAUUUCUCUUAAUAUCACUUGCCUAUUCUAAAAUUUUUAAACUAUCACUUAUCUCUCUUAUUUUUGUUAUUUGUGUAACAAAAUUUUUAAAAAUCCUAAACUACCCUUUCACUUACUAAGUAAAAUUAUUUCUAAACCACUUUAUUCAUUUCAAGAAAAUCAUCACCUACAAAAAAUAAUCUCUUGCAGUACUACCGCAUGGCAAUAAUAUACCCCAUAUAAAAUAUAAAUUUGAAAAAUAAAAAAAAUAAUUGAAAAGAAAUACACUUACAUCAAUGUAAUUCUUUAUGUUCAAAAUCGAUUUCUUAUGAAUUUAUAUUUUUUUUCCAACAACUUCUCAACCCUUGAUUAAACCAUUAACUGUACCAAUCAUUAUAAAAUCAACUCAAAAUAAGCAAAUAAAUCAUACUCCACUUUAUCACAAUCACAAAAAGUAAAAAAUAAAUAAAAUUUAAUUUAUUAUAAUUUAUAAAUAAAAUAUCACAUAGUCGUCCAAAAAAUAUGAGUAAGGAAGAAUGAUGGAGAAAAGGAAAAAGAAGAAAGCUACUUUAGUUUCUUUUUUUUUUUCAAUUUUUGACCUCCAUUUAUUUGAUAUGUUAUGAAUUAUAUGCCGAGUGAGAGUUAAUAUAGUCUUUUUAUAUUUACUAAAGCAGGUAAGUAAUAUUAAGAGAAAUCUCAAGAGAGGUUUCUGAUAUUAUCCCUUUAAUUAAUACAUCUAGGAUUCAUUCAUACGAAUUCUCUCAACUUGUGAAAUAAUUGCCCCCUUUAUUAAGUGGUCUCAAAUCUAAAAGCCUUUUGACCCAAAUCUUAAUGACUUGAAGGGCUGCCCAACGGUAAGACUUUCCCGAGCGCCACGGACUUUGGACUCUACUUACCUACAAAAAAUAUCCUAAUCAAUCUUUCCUUUUUUCUUUCUGUGUUAAAUUGGUUACCUAGCAUAAGAACAGCGAAGUUCGUUAAAAACAACAAAGGCCGCCUCCGACGCACGAGCAGUAGUAGUAGUAGUACUCCGUAAUUCGUUCCGUCGCCGGCUCUGUCUUGAAGAAUCGAAUGCUUCUCCAGCUAGAGCCUCCUGAAUAAGUUUUGGGAAAAUUAGACAAACCGUCCCUCACAUAUUGCGUAUGAUAAAAUUCAGUCCCUCAAAAUAAAAUUGAUCGAUUUUAGUUCCUAACAUAUUAAAAGUGAUCGGUUUUGGACCUCCAACGCAUUUUCAGGCCAUUUUUAAUCGGAAUGAGUUAGGGACCCACUGUGCGUUCCAAUUUUUAAGGGUAAAAUUGACAACCCAAAUGGUGCGUUGACUGCUAAUGUAAAGGACCAAUUUCUUCUCCGAAGUAGGUCUUCUUCUUCACUUUAGGAAUCCAACUUUCAUCGACAAAAUGACAGAGCAAAUAUGGAGAAUCCAUGUCAACCCCAAACUGUGAUUGUGGUGUACUUACAAGGCUGAAAACUUCAUGGAUCUUUGACAAUGUAGGAAAAAGGUUCUCUGGCUGCGCCUAUUAUAAGAUAAGUUGUUUCUUGAAAUUUGUUGAGCAAUGAGUAGUGAUACUGACAAUAGGUUUGCUUUUGAUUCCGAGCUACGGUUAUGGUACUUUAGUCCAGGUCAGUAGGGGGUGACGCCGAUUUUGACUUAGAUGAUGAUUCCGGCGACUUCGAUUAUUCUUGUUUCACCUGGACUACUCACCUUCGGCGCCACUACGGUAAUGGUAGUUUUUUAAAUGGGUCGGUUGUGAAUACUAUUGAGUUAGCCGGUGGAUGGUGUGGGUAGGGGUUAUAGGGGAAGAGGCGCGGCUUGUUUGAUCGACCAGGAGAAGCUUCCAGAUGAUGUAUGUGGUGGGGAUGUAUAUAGGUGGAUGGAUUUGCAGGAUCCUUGUAGCUAUGGGAGCAAAGAUGGGACUACACGCACGGAGGAGGAUUAUGGCAGGGGAUGGAGGUGGGAUGAUUCAAUUGAAGGUGGCUGUGCUUUUGGAAGUUAAUGGGAGCAUAUGGAGGUGGGUCCUUUACAUUUGCAGUCAACCCACUACUUGAUUUAUCAAUUUUACCCUUAAAAUCUGGAACACGUUGUGGAUCUCCAACUCAUUCCGAUUAAAAAUGACAUGAAAAUACGUCGAAGGACCAAAAUCGAUCACUUUUUUAUCAUAUUAGGGAUUAAAAUUGAUCAUUUUCAUUCUGAAGAACUGAAUUUUAUCAUACGCAAUAUGCGAGGGGCGAUUUGUCUCAUUUUCCCAAAGUAAAAUCCAGCACUAACUUGCAAGCGUAACUGGUCUUGCGAACGGACAAAUGGUUACGGAACUACAUAGGGACCAUUUUUCCUCCGACCUGCUACAGUUGAAUGGUUGAAAUAGUUUUAAAUUCACGAGCGAUUGCACAUGGAGCUGUGCAUCCGGGGCCUGAGUUUGCACAACGCUAGAGGGGCGGGGGGGUUUCCAGGAAUUUAUCCCUGAGUACAUACUUGUCAUGAACUUGCCCGUUCCACUGCUAAUACUGCUCCUCUUUCAAAUGUUUUUUUUUUUUUGCCACAGAUUAAGAAAAAUGAUAAAGGGCAAAAAAGGAGCCAAACAUUUAAAAUUUUUGUUGAAAUUCAACAUUGUUUUUGAAUCACCUACGUAGUUCUAUGCUAAGAGCCGUUUGGAGUUGCAGUAGUUUAUUGAAAAAUACUUUAUGAGUUGAGAUUUUAAUAAAAAUAUUUAUUAACUGUUUAAGUACUUUUAAAUAUAUUAUUUGGAGACAUAUGACCUGUUUGGCAAAUAGGUUUUUAUCCAAAUUUGCCUCCUACCAGCUUUUUACCAACUUUAGUUAUAAUAACCUAAAAAACUUUUUAAAAUUUUUUACCUACACACUUCAAAAUACCCAAAACACACACAAAAAAAAAAUUCCUUUCCCAUUUUCUUCUACUUCCUCCCCCACUCCAACUCACUAUCACCUUCGUUGCUGGCCACCACAUUCGCCACCAAUUUCGGCGCCGAUUACCUCUUCCAGUGCCAGUUUUUUUUUUCUUUUUUGCAAUUUUCCCUUUCCCCUCUCCCCCGCCAUCCUCCCCUUUUGCCCAAUCUGGUCCUCCCUUUUUUUCCUUUUUCCCUCUCUCUUUCCCUCUUUUCUCCCCCAUCACCAUCCCUCUUCCUCUCUAGUUGAUUUGGUCGCGAGACUAGAUUGCACCAGGCAAGGGGGAGGGAGAGGGAAAAAAAAAAAAAAAAAAAAUCUGUUGCUACUUUGUCCAACGAGGGAAAGAGAUGGGAGGGGAGGAGAGGGAGAGGAAAAAUUGCCAAAAAAAGAAAAAAAAAGUUUCUGUUACUACUUCAUUUGGCAGGAGGGACGGAGAGUUGGUGGGCGACGAAAGGGAGAGAGGGAAGGGGAGAGGGGAGAAGGGAAGAGGGAGAAGAGGGAUGGCGGGGGAGGGAGAGGGAGGGGUGGCGGACAGGAGAGGGGGAGAGAGAAAAAGCAAAAAAAAAAAAAAAUCUCUUUUGCUGCUUCAUUUGGCAGGUUUUUCGGGAGAGGGAAUGGGGAAGGGAAGAGGAAGGGAAGAAAGAAAAGAAAAAAGAAAAAGAAAAGGAAAAAAAAAUUUUCAUCUUACAAUUUUUGUCUACAACUUCUACAGUAAAUUACAGUAAAAUUUUAGACAAACACAUAAAAAACUCACUUGCCAAACGGGGUCAUAGUUUAAUAAGUAUUUAUUGUAUUAGGUAAUGUGUAAUUUAAAAUUUAUUAAAAGUGUUUAUCUCUUUAUUUUGUGCAUAAUAUAGGAUAAAAUGAUUAAAUUUGAUAUUUUAUUUUUUAAAUCACAAAAGUUACUCUAAAAGUACUAAUUUUGAGUUUUUAUUAAAAGUAUUUUUUACAUAAAAAACUCUACCUCUAAUUUUAUGAAAUGAUAUUUAUCAAGCAUUUUAAAAGUAUUUUUAAUAACUAAAAGUACUACAACAGCAAACAAGGCCUAAAAAGAAGGGGACAUUCAAUCGAGUUGUGUAAAAAAUUAAAUGGAAGCCCGUCUGGGUUAGAGGAACCCAUUGACCCACUUGACGUCCUAGAUUGAAUUUCAAAAUUUACAGUCUAAAGAGAGAUUUUUUUUGUUUAAAGAAGAGAUUUAUUCGUAAAUUAAGGCCUUGCUUGGAUUGCAACUUUUCAUCGGAAAAUUACGUUAUUUUCCGUGAUCACAUUUUUCUAUUACCUUUUUUCCUCACAUACAUCAAAUCGCUACAAUAAUUUUUUCAUGAAAAAUCAUGGAAAAUGCAAUCCAAACACAACCUAACCGUGUUUGAAAUGUAACCAUAGACUAGUAGCCCAAGCUUUGACGGCAACACUAGACUGAAUAGAGAAUGUUUCGAGAGGCAGUCAUUCAUUCUUCAUGAUGAUAUCACCUUUCCAUGGUUGUUCAUUUCGUGGAAAACGAAGUGCCACCGGCUUUGUUUGGUCGCGUAGGACUAAAAUUCCUGAGUGGGGUCCGUAGUUGAAAAAGUUGUGCAUAAUACUCCUACUUGCCAAACGGGCGGACAAAUUUGAAUACUCUUCUAGCACUAGCAUAUAGCGAAACAUUUCGAUUUGUAUGGUUGUCCAUUGUACGAGAAUCGACAGAAUUGUCCUUUGCAUGGAUGAUAUGGAACCAUGGAAGAUGAAUAUACAAAAUAUCCCACAAUCAACCAAAACCAACAACAAAUAAAUAAAGAAAUAAACCAAAGCCAACACGGCAUUCAACUAAAAAAUUAUUAACAACUAGAUCAUCAUUGAAAGCAUCGCCUACUGUACAUUGUACAAAACAGCCCCCCUCUCUUCUUGACUUCUCAAACACCACUGCGUACUAACAAUAAUUAUCCUUAGGAUUGACACCCAAAAAUUAAAAAAAUAUAUAUAAAAGACGAAACUGGCAUUGCCGGCGUCUAAUGGGAGAUACUUGCAUGGUUCAAGACGAAGAAGUUCAUCUAAUCCUUGGAAGUUAGCAUAUGACGCAAGAAUUUGGAUCCUCCUCCGCACUCCUGGCGUAGUAUGCCGGCGCUGUUGGCGGGUAAUGAUGGUACUGAUACGGCAUCGGUGGCUGGUAGUUUUGGUGAUAGGCCGGUAGGUAAUGUUGCUGAAAAGAUGGCGGCGGGGGAAGUGCCGGGUAGGCUUUCACGGCAUCACCUUUUGAUUCGUUCUUCUUGUUAUCUCCACCACCACCUCCUCCUCCCUUCUUUUCGUCCCCUCCCUUUUUGGGGUCAUCUUUCUUUUGUGACUCGUCCUUCUUCUUCUCCGGCUCUUUUGCUGGUCCAACAGACACUAUUUCAGUGUGACAGAGCUUCCUUAAUUUGGAAACUAUGCCGACCGGAUCAAUGUCACCGACUACAGUCAGUUUCUUGUCCUUGCUUUCUAUUGCAACUGACUCAAUCCCUGUGUAAGAUUAGUUUGGACCAAAUUAAUCCAGUUUUGAUGAAAUCUUUUGUGUUUUUUUUGGGGGAUAUAUGGAUGGACCCUUUCAUUGUAAUCUAGUAGUGGUACUAGAAUGAAAGGAAUCAAAGGACAGCUUGCACAAUAUGUACACAUACCUACGAGGCCAGACACCUUUUGCAUGACUUUUUGUUUCACUUUGUCAUCAUGAAAUUCCACUUUCAACACCACUUUCUGUCAUAAAGCCAGGAUGAGAAACACGAAUUAGCUUAAACAGUUUAUAGAGGGAUUCAAGACAACUCGUGAGGCUAAAAGCAAAAAAGAAAAAAUAUAUAUAUUGCAAAAAGGUACACAACUUUUUAAGCGUACGCUGGUUUUUGUUCAAGAAUCAGAAAAAAUCUUUUCAUGUUAAUACUACUACUAUUACCGCUAAAAGAAGCACCAGAAAAUAAUAUGCUACCGUACUACUAUUGCGAUUAUGAAACGGGUAAGCACCCAAAUAUGAUUAAGAACGAGUAGUCAAGCUCAACGGGAAACGGAUUUAUGACGAGAGAGCUGCCUAACCUUCAUUUUCUCUGGGCAAAGCUGGGGGAGAGCUGCAGUUGGAGGCUUAAAUUAAGCGAGACAGAGGAAGGGAAUAUUCAGCUUUUGUAGCCCGUGGAUAGAGAAAUCCAAGGAAAAUAAGAGAGAAACGAAGACGAGAAAGGGAAAAGGAAAGAGAGAGAGAGAGAGAGAGAGACGAGUUUAUUUUGGGCGGUGUUUUGUCCCGCUUCAGCUGCCUUCCAAGUCUUGAACCCAAUUUAUAGCACCAGACCAGACCACUGCCACGAGUAACGUAGAACCGACGACUAGAAAAGUCGCGGGUGCGGAUGGAUUGCUGCUAAUGGCCCUGAAAAUAAAGGAGUGCGAGGCCCCCGAGUCAAAGUACGAGUCAAGGUGGCUCUGCUGUUUGCUAAUCUUAGUCAAGAUUGUCUCCCAACAGAGAGAGAGGAAGGGUAAAGCCGUAAAGUUGAGCGUAUUUUUCAAGCACUACGUCAUGCGACUCACAGUCUCAUACCUCAGACAAAGCCAAUUGUGCUGAAAAAAGCGACAUCGUUUUUCGCGGGGCUGCCACCAUAUGGUGCAUUUUCCCGGAACUAACCGGCGGACCACCGCGCGUCGUGUUAUUAAUUAGGAUUAUUUUUUGUUACUACUGCUCCAACGAAAAUCGGUCUGAACAAAUUUGUGCAAAAUGCACAAAAUAUAAUAUUAUAUGCACACGAUAUAAUUUAUUUUUAACAAUAUAUAAUUAUAGAAUAAAAUUUUAUAAAUUCCACCGCGAUGUGAAACGAUAUACAAUUAUUUUUGAUCAGCCAGGAACCUUUCGGACGGUUGCUGCCCCUCCUCUCACACACACACACACACACACACACACAUAUAUAAAUAAAUAUAUAUUUUUUUAACUCUAAAGAGAAUAGGGCCGGUUCUUGCUUUAAACUAUUUUGGACGGCGAGGGUUACGUGAUAACGCUUUUUUUUUUUUUUUCUUUUUUUGUGGUGAGGAAACAGCGAGCUGUGUCAAUCAAUUGGCAUCUCUAUCCGAAAGUAAACUUUUUAAAACCACGAGGACGAUCUAACAUCAAUAGAUGAUCUUUCUGGUGCUGAUAUGUUUGAACCGGAACCGGAACCACGAUUUGUCAAAACCAAAAUUAGAACCAACUUCGAUAAUUUUGAAGAUUCGGUUUAGGUUCAUUAAAAUUGACAUUGGACUUGACGCAUUUAGACUGACUCCAACCAUCCCUAUCCAACUAUAUUGGUACAUUAAGCCAUUUCUCCUUUUGCGUUCCAAUUUCAACGAGAAAUUUAUGUAUAUGUCAUUUUAUUUAAAACGUUCAAUAAAUGUAAGGUAUUUUUUGCAUGAGAUUUGCAUUACUUUUCUUUACCUUGUCAACUAUUAAUACAAUAAGCGUCUUAUUUUUCUUUUACAUUUAUUUAUUCUUUUAGCACUCCCUUAUUCUAAAUUUAUUGCUACAUUUUGUUGAAAUCAAUUUUGGCAACCAAAAGUGAUCAAAUGUAACGAGAAGUGAUCGGAACCAUAAUUGAGAGCAAUCGAAAUAAAAAGUUGCAAGUUUUGGAACUGUAAUCGUAACAAUUCCUAUCGAGGCGAUAGAUCGUAAGGGCUUGAUCACCCCUCUCCCUAAUAUAGAGUAGGUGAUGGAUUGCAAGCGACCAAAAUAGCUGUUUUAAAAGGCUUUCAAUAAGCCAAUAAAAGUCAAAUUGUAAGAGCCAAUAGACCCCUUGUAUUGCAUCGGGGAAAAAAAUAGAAAGAAAAAGAGGAAGACUGAUCAAAUUCAAAUAAGAGGGGACCAACGUGUUGAUGGAACAAAAUUUAAGGGGUUCUUUCGAUUUUGCCCUACUUUUAACUCCAAUAGACUCAGUUCAGGCCUGAUCUUGCUUUUGAUUAUUUAUUAAGACAACGGAUCGAAGUGCUAACGUAAGUUUGGUUUUUUUCACUCAAAAAUAAAACAGCAACCUGUGUCAAUCAAUUAAUAUAUCAAUCGAAAAGUAAAUUUUUAAAGCCAUGAGGACUAUCUUACGUUAUUUGAUGAUUGGCCAAUGGAGAUAAGGUAUGGUAUAUAUAUAUAUUUGCAUGGGUCCAGGGUCGAAAGAUAAAUCAAAUUAAUUUUUUUGAAACCUAUAUCAAGUUCACUUUUGUCAACUAAUUAAUCCAAGCAUAAAUAUCUUUUAAUUCGGUCAAACUUUUAAAUCCGACUCAAAUUUAGCUUGUGUAGCAUUACUAACAUUUAAACAUAAAAAAUUCAAGCUAACUGAGGUUGAUUCGGUAAAGAAUCUGUUUAAAUUCACUCGACAAAUAAAUAAAUCAAAUUAAAACAUAAUAUUAAGUUUAUUAAAAUCAACGAACUCACUCGAACAUUAGAGCGUUCAUUUUAUUGGACUUGUUCACAGUCCUUGUGCUCGUGCUUCUCAUGCAAAGUGAAAAGUGUAAUUAGCCUCGUUGAAAACAACACAUUCGUUUUUUUUGGUUUGGGAUGACCUCAUUUACAACAAUUUAAAGGAAAUUGAAAAAACGGUACACGCUGGCUGACCAGACCACCUUAACAGAAAAGCAGAACCCGAACCAUCCACAAAAAGGGACAUGAUGAUAACCCAAACAAAGACUACACACGCAAGGGUAGCAACUGCUCGCGGUCACAGUACAUGGUGUCUUUGAACCCGAACCCGCCCGAAGAUUUCUACUUGGAUCCUAUGGGCAUGGCCCUGCCCAACCUUGGCUCAUUCGCCAACACACCCGCCUCUGUCGCCGUUGCCACGGCUUCGACGGCCAGCACCACUUCGUUGUCUUCCGAGGACCCGAGCAAGAAGGUCCGAAAACCCUACACCAUUACCAAGUCAAGGGAGAGCUGGACGGAACCCGAGCACGACAAGUUCCUCGAAGCACUCCAAUUGUGAGUCUCGCUUCGCUUUCAAAUAUAUUGCAUCUUUUGUUGAAUUAGCGCCUUUGGAGUUCUUCAAUUUAGGGUUUUGGCGGGACUGUUUGGAGGUUUUAAACUAUCCCUCACAAAUGGGUAAUGUCUUGCGGCGAUUGAAUCGGAAAUUUGAAUGAGUUCCCUAGGGUUAUAAUUGUUUAGUUUGAAGUUGAAUUGUAGUCGCUGACUGCCAGUCUUUAAUUCUAUAAUAAUCAGUAGAAGGUCCUUCGUAUACUUCAUUAUGUGCCUGUAGUUCGUCCUUGUUUCAUUAGCUAAUUUUGUCACAAUUUAGCUGGAUAUUAGGGGCAUCCCUCGUUAUUUAAUAAUUACUUACAUGCUUCAAUACGUGUAACUUGUUAAUUGUUUACUUGUUUGUAUGAUAUGUAGGUUUGACCGUGAUUGGAAAAAGAUUGAAGCAUUUGUUGGAUCGAAGACUGUUAUUCAGGUAAUUUUACUGCAUCAAGCAACCUUCAGUAAAUCUUAUGUUCUUUCCAUGAUUGAAAUGCACUACUCAAUACUUUUGUGUUCAUUUACUCAUGUUGCCCUUUGUUCAGUUCACUAUCUAUUCCCCUCAAUACAAUUUUUUUUGUCAGCAUGUAAAGAAAAUACGUCAAAUUGGUUUUGCUAGUUCUUUUAGUUUAUUUUAUUUGCAAAAUACUGAAAAAGUGAGUAUCCAUUGUGUAUACUGGGAACUUUUAUUUUCAUGGUUACAAUUGCAGGAGUUUUAAUUACACUGCCACAUGCAUUUAUCUCUAUUGCAAGAAGAAUUUGAGUUCUCUUAUCAAGUUAAAGAAUGUGUUCAAUUUUGAUACUCUGCCAAUAAUUGAAUCUGCUGUUGCAGUUUGUUAGAUUCAGCUUAGUAGUGUUAAAGUGUAUCUGCCUCUGAUGUUUAAAAUUUUCUACUCAGCAUUUCUGCUGUUAAAUAUCUUUUUUCUUGUAUGUAUUUCUUGAUAGUGUAUAAGUAUUCCUCUCAGCGGUCAUUUCUGGAUUUCAUCUGCACAAUUAGUUAUUCAAAGUCUCUUUAUAUGCACGCAACACCUUUUUAAUGUUGAAAUUGAAUGUGCUUUCUUUUGGCACUAUGAUCUUCUGUAAUCAAAUCUUAGGCAUGACGUGUACCUAAAAGUGGGGUGGUUAAGGUGGAGGUUUACUUGUGCAGAUACGUAGUCAUGCUCAAAAGUAUUUCCUUAAGGUUCAAAAAAGUGGGGCUAAUGAACAUUUGCCUCCACCUCGACCAAAAAGGAAAGCUGCUCAUCCAUACCCUCAGAAAGCCUCAAAAAGUGGUAAGCAAUGGAUGAUUUCUCGCGUCAUCUCUUGUUGUGAGUUCAUUCUGCAAAUAAUGGUCCUUAACUUUAGCCUAUUAUGGCUCCUCACUUAUUGCAUAUUGGCAGCUCCUGCUCUUCCUCAAGUCUCAGCUUCUUUACAAGACUCACCAUCAUCACAUGAACAUGGAAUUUUGCCAAGAGCCGAUUAUUCGAAUUUCCAUGGAAACACUGUCACUGGUGCAGCUUUGCCAUGCUGGACUGAGAAUGCUAUUGGUGCUGGCAACUUAUCUCCUGGGGAAAAAGGUUUCUUAUGCUGAUAGAUCUAAUUGGAAGUCAUGCGCAGAUAUCUUCUGUGUGAGCAUUGAAGGUGCUUUUCUGUGUUACAGGCGAUCUAAGAUGGGGACAUCAGCUUAUGGCCAAUAACUACUGCUAUAGCAGUGAUGAAAGCACUCCACACUCGAAGACACAGCCGACAGGUGAAAAGAUCAAUCAAGGAAAUCAUGGACCUCCAAGAGGCAAGUGUGAUUUAUUGCAUACAUUUAGCUUGUUAACAUUUAAGCCAAGUCCAUGAGGAAAGCUGAAUACGUGAAUAAUACGGGAAUAAAACAUCACUGUAAAUCCAUCUUUGAUGUUGUUAACGAGUAUGUUGACUCUUCAAUAUGGUUGAAAAUAGAUCUUGUAGAAUGUCUCUCAAAUUCUGCUUGAUCUAUUGGGGGUUAUUUAAGGGCAAUUGUUUUUCACCCAAAACUAAUUAACCACAAAUAAGAAUAAUGUAUUUUUAAGGUGCUUUUUGCAGUUUUGGGGCAGUUUAAUUCAAGGGUGCAUCACUCUGAGGUUUGGGCCAACAAGUCUCAUAAUUUGUCUGCUCUUUUUUUUUUUUUUUGGUGGUUAAGUCAUGUUUAAAACAAGUUUUGAAUUCUUAAGGAAAUUCUCUUCCUUCUAUAAAGUAAUUUAAUACUGUGUAAGAAUGUUAUUGAGUAAACUUGUAACCCUUGCUAAUUUUCUGAAUUUUUUUUUCAACUUGCUGAAGUCUUUCCUUUAAUGGUUAUUUUCUUGCUCCUGUUCUUAUUGAAUUAAGAAAUAAAUACUUAUUACAUGUACAUUUGAUGGCUUGAUGAAUUAUUUUUUAAAUUGCACCAAGAUGAUCCUUUGUUCUCAUUUCUGAUGCAGUUUUACCAGAUUUUACUGAAGUAUACAGCUUCAUAGGCAGUAUCUUUGACCCAAGUGUGACAGGUCACGUGCAGAAACUAAAGAGGAUGGAUCCUAUUGACGUUGAAACGGUACACUUUAUGAUCUCUACAAUUGUUUUACUCCAUGCGCACACGCUGGUUUAUUUUCCUGGGCUUUGGAGAACUAUGUGGUAGAAAAUAGUUCUUUCAGAUCAAUAUUGACGUUGAAAAUGGUUUAUUUUCCUGUGGCCUAUGCAAACUUGUGCAAAUGAGAUCAAUAUUUGUUUGCUUUUCUUGUUUCGUCAUUAGCUUUUAGCUAAGGAUCUGAAAUUAUGUCUCUUCCUUUUUCUGGUCUCUCGUAUAGGUCUUAUUGUUGAUGAGAAACUUAUCGAUCAAUUUGACCAGCCCAGAUUUUGAGGACCAUGUAAGUGUUAAUUAUGUUUUGAGUGUAGUAAUCAAGAUCUUGAUUACUCAUAAUGAUGCUGAAAAUCUGCUGAUUGGUGAUGGAUAUUAUUUAAAUUUGUGGAACUAUUUCUGUUACUAUCAAGUCCUUUGGUGGCUUAAUGUCCAAACAAGUUUCCAAUGCCCCUUUCCACUUUGACCUGUUUUCCCAUUGGGUGCCCAAUUUUUAUCAUUUUAUGUAUUUGUAGGAAGUUUUACAGAUUUCCUUUUAUUCCUACCAAAUAUGAGACUUGUCAUAUCUUGGCACCUCUCUGAGAAGAACUAAUAGAAUGCCUGUGGACGCUCAUUGGAAAAGUUUAAGAUUAUGUCUACUGACUUCAUCUCUGAAUGUUGGUUCAGAGGAGGUUGAUUUCAUCCUGUGAGCUGGAAUCAGGGAACGAGGACGAGAAUGAUAAAAAUGACACUGUACAGGAUAAAUGUGAAGAUACCUGUCAAUAUGUGUAACUUGUUUUGGAGAGAAAUUUUGCUGCUCAACUUGGGUAAGGCUUAUAAAUUUGCUUUCUUGUUUAUAUUUUAAAGACUUUGCUUAGCAAUUGUUUAAGUCACGUCGAAGCAAGCAUUGUUAAAAUAUGUUUAAUGCCAGGCACUUGCAGCUUCUCAUUCUGGCCAGGGAUAAUCUUAGAUUGGUAACAUCAAUCGGUUGUUGGAUAUAUUUGAUGUUGUAAGUCUUUUUUAUGGCAUUUCAUGUAUUAUGUAGAUAAUGAGCAAUAUAUGUGAGAGAGAGAGAGAGUGUGUUGCGGGAACUGUAUAUGUUGUUGACUGUAAAUUCAUCAGUGUAAAUUCUCACAUACGCUGUCCAAAUUAACCACAGCUUACAUGUUUAAAUUCCUGAUAUGCUUGAUCUAUUGCUCAAAAUAUGGCUUUUGAUGAGGAAUUCUUAGAUCCUAAGGGUCUCAGUGCACUUUUAUGUAGCUCAAAUAUUGAGCCCUUGCUCACUAAGUGUAUGGUACAUUUGCCAUUAAUAAAAUAUAAAAAAAAAAAAAAAAUUCGUGCCACUUUGUUAUAGCGGAGAGUAGCGAUCUUUCUUAGGUAGAGAAAUCACCCGCCCAACAAGUCUUGUUGGGUCGAACUUUUCAAGAACGACUCCACUGGAUCCAUUCCUUUCAAAUCUUAUCAGACAGAAUUCAUUAAAUUCUCUUGAUCUGUCCUGUAGUAUGCUUUUUCGCAGCAUCACUGAGGCACCUUGGGGAAUCCCGUUUGAAGCUACUGCUCGGUUUUAAUCCCGGCAAAAAGCGCACCUUUUAAAACUCAUAGCACAUGGGGAAUUCACCAUUUUGUGGCGUUCCGCUUAAGCUAUUGCUCGAUAAUACAUGGAGGCAUGUAUGCGUUCAAGACCUCAAUUACUGUUUUGGAGAGAUUGCUUCUUCCUCGUAGUGGCAGUAACGUCAAAGUAGUAGACAUAUUUAUCCCUAGUAUCCACUAAUUUUCUAUUGUACUCGUAUGAAAGUAGUAUUUGCCUUCUUGCUGGGGGGAAUGGUAUAAAACAGAAAUGCAGUUGGGCUCGCUGGUGUCCCGUUUGAAGUUUAUAUUUAAUUGGGGAAUAAACAAGAACGCAACGGAAAAGCAAAAUCUCAGCAAGAGCAUGUAAGGUGACCCUGUAUCUUUGGUCAUCCCAAUCGAAGCCAAACACCUGUGAAAUUUAGAUUCUCCUUCGAGAGCAUUUUUGUCAUCACAAAUUGCACGGGUAAGAGUGAAACCCAGAGGUGAGGCUACAAACUUCUUCCCUCUUCUCAAUUUACUAUAAAAACGUUGUCAUCAAAAUUCCAUUGUUCACAAAUGUGGCUCAAGUCUUAAGCAGUAAUGACGUCCACAAUUCGGAAUUUCAACAGUUAUGGUUCAACUCAGACCACGUGCGUGCUUUCAGACCAUGCAACAUGAGACAUGUCUCUAAAAAUGAAAAGAUCCAACUCCUAACAAGACAUGCUUGGUGAUGAGAUUGCUGGUACUGCUUAAACUUGGUCAGCCUCACCAAGUGAUCAUUAACUAAGGAGAAGAAGAAAAACUGAUGUCUAAUGUUUUCUUGGAGGCUUCUUUAUAUCCCAGGCUGAAGCAGACUUACGCGUAUGCCUUGAUCCUCUUCCCAUGUCAAUGAACCUGUGCAAUGCAGAUUGACGAUUGAACCUUCCCAACCCAGAUGGAUCUAAAAACGGCGCUGGGAAUAAAGGAAACAAAAGGGAAGGAACAAGUCUUUAGUAGCAUUAUAAGCAUACAACCGCUACUGUCUUGAGUAUUUGCAUAUUGCAGAGUCAGAUAAAUAUAGAAAGCAUGCAAUUGUCCCGAGCAUUUCACAACACAGACUUCCAGUUACAUGUUCAGCAAAGACGAGUCUCGGCACAAAACGCAGAUAUGAUGGUAGGAAAACUGACCAUGGCUCCGUUUCAGCAUGGUAACAUUAAGCAAGCAGACAGUGCUCCCAACUAUCAUAAAUAAUCCACUAGCUUCAUGCAUUGGGAAGAUGCUAUUUCGAAAUCCUAAUUGUAGUCAUAUCGAAUAAACUAUUUGACGUGGGUAGCACAUAUCCAAUUAUCUUCGGGUUGUAUUACCUUUUGAUACUAUACAAGAUUCCUAAAGAAAAGCUAAUUGCAGACUGUAAACCAUAUUAGUUCCUCAUCUACAAACCGCAAACUGCAAAAAAAUGAAAAACCCGAGACACAGUACGAACUCAACACAAAACUGCAUUUUGAUCAGAAAAGAAAAGUUUCUUACCUAAAUCGGGCAGUGGGAAGUCUGGAUAAGUAGUUUGUUGAUAUGCCAGUGGAGAAAUCUGUAUCCUGUCCAAUCCCCAAUUAUAACAAGCUACUUCUGCAAUAGGUGGUGGAUCAAUAGGUGCCACAUUUAUCUGUAGCUCGUGAUAUUGUUGAGGAAGAACAGAUGGCUGAUGUAAUACAGAAUACCGCUGAUGCAUAUCAGUGCAAGAAUGGCAGUUCAAUGGAGAAUAAGGGUGCAGCGCCAUUGGAUUCAUCAAUGACAUUUGGAAUCCCAUCUGAGCUUUCUGAGAAUCCAAAGGGUGCAAAGAUGGAAUUUCAGCAUUAAUACCAUUAAAAGGGUUCUGCAGGUAAGACUGCUGAGACGGAAAUUCCUGAGGUGUCAAUGAGGUUUUUACAUCUUGAAAUGGAUUGAGUGUUGAGUCUUCGAGAGCAGAACUCUUUACUUCGCAAGCAAUAUCCAGACCUUCAUGUUCCUUUGCAACUUUAUCUGUUGGAUUGGACCACAAAAUGGUGCCUUCGACUGAGUUUUGAUCACCUAUCAACCUCAAACAAUGAGGUGCAAUCAGAUCAUCCAUUGAAAUUAAAUUGUUCUCAUCAGGCAAAUGGAUGUCAUCGGCAGAAUCUGCACUAUCUUCAGAGUUGAUUCCCUUUGAGAGUUUACAACAUGAUGAGUAAGCAAUCGAGAUCAAAGUGCUAUCAUCAGGCAAACACAUCUGAACUUCAGAGUCAGCUGUUUGACCAUACUCAGCGACAGUAUUGAGAUCCAUCUCCUGUUCAAACUGAAUAGUUGCCAAUAUUUCAGACCAAAAAUCUUCAAAACUAGAUUCAUUUGCAUCCAUUUCAUACAACUCAGGCUCCUCUAAAACAUCGCCUGCCACAGUGCUUUUCUGGUGAGGUCUGGUGAGAAUAGAAUCACUGGAACUUGAAGUGAUGACAUCAUAAGCAUGCAGAAAUGAUAAUUCACAAGGCUCUGUUAAAUCUGUACUUGUAACCCAAUCAACUGAUCUUAUUUGGCCUGAAUUUGAUAAUCUGGUUGAACACACCUCAUUUGGUUCCAAAUCAGAAGUACUCUCAUGAUCCUUUGUCAUUUCUGAUAUCACAGAGUUGCUCUCACUUGCAUUCUUAGGCAUGCAACCUAGUCUCUCAAUUGUGCUUGCACACAGAUUUCCCAUGUGUCUUAUUCCAGAACCCAAACAUGCAGCUGGAUGUUGCGGCAUUGCAUUCUGAAAUAAGCAUGAAAAUGACCUAAGUUAUACCAUCAUUUUCUAUUUAAUUUUUGUCUAGAAAGUUGUAAUAUUUGAGUACCUUCUGUGUAGCUUUCUUUUUUAAAAAAAAUAAAGUGAUAGUAAUUUUUUUUUAGUGUAAGUGGGAUGGCUCAGACCCGAGGCCUCUCUCACUUACACUCCCUUCCCCGAAUAACCGAAUCCCUCCCCCGCUUCUGUGUAGCUUCUGUAGAUCUAACAUAAAGUACUUUCAGUGUGCAGGUAUCAACUUUUAAGCAACAAACUAUAUAUAUGAAGUUUAAAAAGAAUGACAAAUACACCAUGUAAAGUAAGAAAAGUUGUGCAUGAAGCAAUGCAUUGCCUUCAGAAGAAUCAAAUAGAAAAACAAAAGGGCAAGAACAACAGUCCACAGAAUGAAGAUGAAUACCUCAAUAACAUUGGAUGAGCAGCUGUUGUCAACUUUGGAAGAGUUUCCAACAUGUUCCCUCAUGGUCAUUCUGCAAUGCACCCCACUAGAUUCUCUGCUAUUCAUACUGAUAAUUUUUUUAUGAGAAUCAAACUCUCCAUUUUCAGCUUCAUAAGCAAUGAAAGCUUCUAAAGAAUUACAACUCUGUGAUGGUGUAGCAACAUUAACAGAGUCACUAGAAGUGUCCUUAGCCAAAUUUAGGUCCACAGAGUUACUGCUAGAAAGGGGAGCACUAAAAAUUUUGAUAUUGUGGUCUUCAUCACUGGAUAUUGUUCGCACUUUUGGGAGUGUUUCGUUUUGACUAGUGGAGUGUAUCUCUUGAGAAGUAGAUUUAGCUUCAAAAUUGUUACUACCUGUCUGCAGUCAAAUGUAACUGUUUAUGUCAAUAAGAGUAGACAAUAACAUGAGUGCAUUGUGAUUCAUACAGUUCAAACAUAGUAACCAUCAAGAUUGUAUGAAGAUUUACUGAGGAAUCAAGGAAAACAUGUACUUUUCAACAAGGUUCCAUUUGUUAGAAUUGCAGUUCAUCUUUUCCAAAAAUGGGAAUUGUUCAACGGGUGACUUGAAGGUAAGUAAAUGAGAGAUGACUGAAUUUGUAAAUGAAGUUUCAGAGAAAUUGACCUGACCUUAUGACAGUGUGGUGGGCGGUAGGGGUUCUCACUUUUGCGAAGCUGGUAAAUGUCUUCAUUUGGGGUCUCUUGUAUAUUUUGAGACAAAAUCCCAGCUUCACAUCCACGUGCUUUUGGUGGACACUGCAGAAGAUCACGUUGUCUCCUGAAAUCUGCAUUCCAAUAUAAUGCUUAAGCAAGGAGAUUAUAAUGCCCACACCCUGUUCAGACUUUAAUAUACAAACACGAAGUUGUCGACAUAACACUAGUUCUCUUUUUGUCCUUAAAAUGGAAAAUAAAAAGACUUUUCAAAAGCGUGAAGCCACACACAGCAUGCUCUCUCAAUGAGGAUAUCUGGUGUUCCAAACUAAACAAGAGACAGCUAUAUAUUAAUUUGCAGGAAGCUAGAAAGUAACCAACCUCAAAUGAGCCUUACUGUACAAUGGAAAUUACUGAAAGCAAUUUGUGGAAUAGAAUGAAGGGAAAUGAGUUUCCUGAUGACUAUCUUAUGGAUAAAGUUGUAAUGUUCUAAGUGCACGUUGUCUUAGUAAAAUGAUAGAAAAAUAUUAAAUUCACGUUUCCCAGCCACAAGGAUGCUGGUGAACCUAUCCAACCUUUAGUGUCAGAAAGUGCAAAGCACAAUAAGGAUAAGCAAAGGUCGAGAUGCAUGCUGUGAUGUCUAUUGUUUCACUAAAAUAAGUAGUGAGUCAUUAACUCUAGGGCUCAUGUUUAACAUUCUAUUAUUUUCCGUCGAUAAUUUUAAAUUGUUCUGUAAAAUCAGUCUACUCAGUACACUCGCUGGAUACGGCCCAUCAAAAGAAAUCCUGUCUAAAACUAACUCACCACCUUAGGAACAGUAGGACAUUUUCUUUUCUUUUCUUUACAUUACAUAGUUCUCGACAAAAAGGGGAAAAAGAAUUGCUGUAAACCUGAAAGAUUAUUGCCAGAGGUAUCCUGUUUGAUGGAUUGCAGCGAACCACCUUUACUGUUGCCGGAACUAUUGAUUGACAGAGCACCUGGUAUCCUCCAUGAUUCAGGUGUACUGCUAGGUGCAUCCUUCAAUUGACUAUCCAAUCACAGAAGAAAAAUUAAUCCACAUUCACGGAAUGAUCUAUCAAUAUAAGCAGCUAGGAAACUCUUUGUAAUUGAUUAAAAAGAUAAUAUGAAAAGAGUGAUUGCUUUUCACGUUCGGUUGAAACUUGAAAAGCAGAAGAGAAAUUAUUAGCGUAAUUCCUUACUGAACAGUAAAAUUCAGUUGAUAAAAACAACGAAGGCAUACAAUUGGAUUUCAGAGGGAAAGGAUAAUGUGCCAUUGUGGAGUAAUGUCACCAAGACUAGCAAGAAAAGUUGAGGCUUACCGUAAAAGUAACGGUUCAAGUUGAAGUCCACUUGGCAGUUCUUUACAAACAUCCAAUUCAGCCAAUGAUAAAAGAAAUGCCCUUGUGUAUUUAGUCCUAGACCGUCUGCACCAUGGCAACCAUCAAGAAUCAUAACUCCAUGAGAUGAGAUUACAUCCUUUAGCAUAAUAAGAAAAACUUAAGGAUUUGCUAUACUGGUUUCCAUUAACAAUGAUAACAAGAAAUAUCCUGCAGACAGAGGGAGAGACUACUGUAAUAUAUAUAUAUAUAUAUAUAUAUAUAUAUAUAUAUAUAUAUAUAUAUUCUGGAUAAUAAACUGGCAUGCUAGUACAGCUUACAAAGACGAGUUAUUUACGGGAAACGGUAAAAUGCUGUACGCGGAUCACGAGAAAAAGGAUUAAAUCGAAAAGAGGAGAGAAGAAAGAAAUGAAGCACAUUACUCAAAAAUCUGUUUUGUAAUGCCCCCAAACUGGAGCGGCUCCGCUGAGGCUCCGCCGUGAAUUUCUACACUCAUUCCCCUAAAAUGCGCAGAAAAUAUUCAAGCUUCUUACAAGUCUGCAACUACGACUUGGUUCAGAAUGAUAUCCAAAGCUUCAGCAGCACGUAAUCUAGAAUAGCAUCAUUCAUUCAUCAAAGGCAGUAACUAAUAGCUUUAGCUUUUGCAUUUUUCACGCCAAAACCAGCCAGCUUUGCUCAACAAUGGUGAUCGUCGUACUCUGGGAUUUGGCAAAUGAGUGAUCUAUGGAGUCUAUUCCAAACUGUACAGAUUUAUUUACAGCAAGAAUCACGCUAUUGAAUCUCGAAAUUAGCAAAAGAAAAUGUUAAUCUCUUAAUAUCUCUUUUCUUUUCUUUUUUUUAAUGCUAAAAACUGGGAAUGAGAAAGUGCUUAUCGAGUUGCAGUAGAGACAUAAUGAGCUGAGAUAUCUGGAAUCGGGAAGAAAUGCAUGGUUGUAUCUAUAUACAUAUAUAGGUCAGUCCGGUACCGGUACCGGUACCGGAAAUUUAGAAGGAAAUGGCGGUUAAUAGUUGUGAGCUAUCACUAUGAUUUAAAAGUGCGUGAUUAUUAUGUAACUAAUCACGGGGCAUGCACCAGCAGCAGCAGCAGCGUAAGAAGCACCCAAGAAAACGACAAGGGCUACUGCUGCCACCUGUCAAUCGUCAUCAUUCAUUAACUAACUACGACUCCUGCUUGCUUUGCGGUUUGCACCUCCACCUAAGUCCUAAUGUGGUUUAUUUUUACACUGAAGAAACGGAAAGCGCGCCAAAUUUGUGUUCACCACAGGGUUUCGUGGUGACCAAGCAAAACUCCUACUUGCAGUAGAUUUGCCUCCCCGGAAAACUUCCAAUUUGGACUAAAUGGUAAUUUCAUGUUUCAAGUUUUACCGCUCCUACAGCCACUAGGCCUUUGGCCUGGUAAUCAUCAGCCACCACCAAUCUUGGUGAGGUGGGAGGUUAAGGGUUCAAUCUUACCUCCCACCAAUUGCCAUUUCAUGUGGCAGGGUUAAUUGACUUUUUUCGAUGGAAUUUCUAUUCACAUCAAGUCCCCUCCGCUCUCUAAUAGAUUAGGCUUGCCAUUUCAUAUGACAGCCUUAAUUGAUUUUUUUCGAUGGAGUCUCUAUUCACAUCUAGUUCCCCUCUCCUUUCCCCUUUAAUAAGCUAGAUUAGAUUAUACAAAUUUUACCGUUACGACAAAAAAAAAAAACUUUUACCGCUCCUACAGUAUGCUAUUUCCUGGUCCUAGAGAUAAUAAAAAUUGUUAAUACUACAAUAUUUAUCUUAUACUCCCUCCGUCCCAAUUAUUUAGUAAUGUUUUGGAAAUGCAACCUUUUAAAAA
rnacentral:lncRNA from 1 species